UGACUUGCUCUGUGCAGUGGACAUGAAUUAUUUCCUUUUGCUCAAGAUGUUAUGCCCGUAUGUGCAGUCCUUGUCCUCUUGAGAUAGUUUUUUGCUUGAGAUGUUAUGGACUUGUGUCCAAAUUACUUGUUAAUUGGUUUGAAGUUCCUCUGCAAAAAAAAAGUCUGAUUGAGGACUUCAAUUCAAAAGGUGGUUGCAAAUGGAAUAUGCACUGUCACAGGUCAGCUUGCUUUUGAUUGACAUGUUGAGCUUCCAAGAAAUUAUUGAAUGGUGCAACAUCAUACUUGAUCUCAAUUUAUGUGAUUUUUUCAUUUUGGAAAUAAAUUAAUUGAACUGAACUCAAGUUGAGGGUGGCGCUUGGAAAGUUUCUCUUUUCUUGCAGAUCAUAUGUACUCGGAUAGGCAAGACCUCUACCCGCUAAUGGAUUCUUUGAGUGAGAUGAAAUGGAGUGGGUGGAUGAAUCAGCAAGUACUUAGGAAUGUAAGUCAGUUGAAUGACUUGGAGAAGAUCAAAAUGUCUGUGUGCAUGUUGGCCAUCCGCUGCACCAUGCUGGCCUCCCGCAAAGCUCUCAUACGCAAUCAUUGGCAUCGACAUCCAUGAACUGACAAACGAGAAUAGAACUGGGUGUAUGAACCCAUUUCAAACAAGAAGCAAGUUUAAUUUUCUUUUGUCUAGUAAAGGCUUAAUAUCCUGUAUUGUUUUUGUUUGUGGAGUUUGUCGUCGGGAAGGAAAGGUCAACUUCACUCAGUGUCUAUGGAUGAUUUUCAGGCAAUUCUUGGUUUGAAAUUCUUGCGUUACACUAAGACAGCAGUGAUGCCUUACUCCCAACUCCAUGCAUCCUAUGGGGGAGAAGCCACGUCUCAUACCCACAAUGUCGACUACGAACAUCGACAAGUUCUUUUAUGCUAUGCAGAUUAAGGGGGUGAGAUGAGGUGAGCAAAAUUCGGUUGCAGUAUUGAAUAAGACAAUGAAGUGUGUCCUAGGGCAAUUUGUUGAUGUAAUGCUUGAACAACUGCCUAAAGAGUUGCCUCACGUCCAGGCGUGGAUCAUGCAAUUAAACUUGUGCCUUGUGCAAAGCGUCCCGCCCACGCACCAUACAAUAUGGCUAUUCCUGACUUGCAAGAGUUGAGGAACCAGCUCACGAACACGAUGGAUGGUUGUUUCCAUUGUUAUUGUUAGUUCUAUAGAUCUCAAGUUUAUUUCUUCCUUUUUUCCUUUUUAUUUUUUUUUCCUGGUCACAGACUUGUUGGAUGAUAGUUUCAUUAUUAUUGUCAAUUCUAUAGAUAAGUUUAUUUCUUUUUUUUCU